CUCCAUGUCGUUUAUAUAAUUAAGAAUAGUUUUUAGAAAAAUGGACUUUAUUAAAACCUUCGGAUCCUACUGAUCCUUUAGAAAAUAAGUUUGGAAAUCAUCAAAGCAUUUUUCUUUCUUCAAAACAUAACCCACAUUUGAAAGAUAUAAUUUUCAUAAAGAGUGCUACUUCAACAUAGACGGGGUUUUAAAGCAAUACUUGUAAUACAGCGGAACACAAAAUAACUUUAUUUUACAUACACCCCGGUUUAAUAGACUAGAUUCCUAAAUAGAGUACAUUAUAAUUACAACUAUAAACUUCUCAAGUUAAAGCACUUAAAAAGAAAGUGACUAAUAGAAUCUUUGAAAAUAGUCGGUUGAUAUAAAAGCUCGUGAUUCCUCGAACUCCGCUCCACCAGUUUCCAUAACCGCUUCGAGCACCUCAACCUUGACAUGGGCGAAGAGUUUUCCCCUGCUUCACGUAUACUCACAAGGUGUACUCACACAAACAAAAUAUUGCAUUCACAUGGGGAUACAACGACCAAUUAGCUGUAGUACAUAUAGACAUCAAGUCCCUAUAGUCUGUAUUAACAUAUAUAACACAAAUGCAAUAUGACGGGAUACCUAUCAGAUUCAUAACAUGGUUAUCGGUAAUAGACGUCGAUAUUCUGAGCCCGUUUAUUUAUGGAAGCUAUCCACUCUAUAGUCUAUAGUACCGUAGUUGGAAUACCGGCCCCUCCGUAUUUCCGUGUCUACUCGACCGAUAGCCAUUUAAGAUUCUGACUUCCUAUACUGACCAUGCAAUAUCAUAAAUGACAAAUCAUACAAACAAUUCAAAACGUAUAAACAAACAUACUCAUACUUAUGUCAAUACAAUUACUAUAAUGUGACGGUAUCCCUAUCAGAUUCAUAACAUGGUUAUCGGUAAUAGACGUCGAUAUUCUGAGCCUGUUUUGAGGGGAGCUACCCACUCUAGUCUAUAGUACCGUAGUUGGAAUACUGGCCCCUCGUAUUCCCGUGUUUACUCGACCGAUAACCAUAUUAAGAUUCUGACGUUCCUAUACUUGCUCAUGCAAUACCAUAAAUGACAAAUCAUUCAACUCCAAUAAUAUAACCAUGUUAGAUCGAACUUGCACUUAGCAUAAAACACGUAACCAUAUAACACAUAACCAAAUAGCUAACAAACAUAUUCAAAACAUUUUCUCCCUUAGAGUUGAUUCUUCAAAUAACUCACAUAAUCAAUUCAAAUUGCAUAAAUAAACAUUCUUAUAACUCACAUAUAUUAUGCAACGUACACGUACCAUAUACAAGAGGUAUCACAUACAAGAGAAGGGGAUUAUCAUAUUAUUUCAUAUAACCACUUUCAUAGUUAUAACAUACCAAAGUGAUUAUCUUAAAUGCAUCAUUCAUGCGUUUCCUAAGCUAUACAUUUAUGUGAACAUAUAAGCAUACGAUAAUCAUAAUAGCACAUACGCACAUAAUAUAUGAAAUCCGAAUCCACAUAUUCUAUUCCAAAGAACUACAAGGAAAUCUGGCAGAUUCGGUACUUCAACUUUGGAAAUUCAUAUCUCUUAAACCGUACAUACAAACCUUAUGAAAUUAUCACACAACGUUCCCAUAUUAGAGAAUUAUAUCAUAUCAAAACAGUGCAGUAAAAUACCUAUCCAUGAGAGAGGAAUAAUUAAUUUAGUACAGCAACAGCAGCAGAAUUUUAGAACAGAGUAUUCAACUUUGAAAAUAUCAAAUAGAUCAUUCUUUCAACGAAACACCAUGAAAUUUCACGAAGAAUCAGAUUUAUAAGUCUAUAAUCAUAUCCAGUUGGAAUCGCAUGAAUCAGAACAAGGUAAAAUCUAAUUUAACACAUAAUUCAUAGAUGACUCAGAAAUCGUGCAGUUUCAGAAAACCGUUCAUAACUUGAUCAAUAAAAUUCCGAUUUAUGCAUACCAUAUAUCAAAACGAAGCUAACAGAAACAUGUACACGCACAAUUAAUUUCAUAAUUUUCGUAAAAUAAAUCAUCGAUGAAACAUGCACUGAAAUCUGUAGGUUACGAAUCUGGAAAUCGAAUUGGGGUUCAUUGAAAUCUAUAUUUCAUGACCUAGAUCCCUAAAUCCGAUUCCUAAGCAUAUUAAUCAAUUAAAACACAUAAACAUCAUCUUAUUAUUAUCAUUAAUUCAGUAAAGACCAAAAGUCCUUACCUCUUUGAAGAAAAAUCGAAGACAAAGGGAAAGAGUAAACCGAAGGAUUCUUGGAACCUUUGGCUUGAAGACUUUUGGGGCUGAACUUGGAGGCUAUCGAGUGCCCGAUCUUCUUGCUAGUGUGGGGGAUUUUAUAGGGAAAUUAAUCCCAUUAAUUAGAUAUGAAACUUCCCGGAGAAGAAGGGAAAUUUGAUGAGUUCUCAUUGAAUCUGCCUGGGUGAGGCUGCCGAUGGAUGAGAGGAAGAAGAGUGAAGACCCAAAUUCCCCCGUUCCUUCUCGGAACUCCCGUCGGGAAAAUAGAGAAGGAAAGAGGAGGAAUCUUCCUUGGCUUAUACUAGGAAAUUAGGAGGAAGUUUCCCAAGGGCUAUUGUGCAAUAUUUAAAACCAUGGGGGUCCUAAUAGCAAUUCAGAAAAUAUGUUGUACACUAGACUACAUACUCUAAACAUGCAUAUACGGCACAUACAUGGCAAUCAUACACAAAUCAUAAUACAUGUAUCUAUAACAAUUAGAGAUUAAUACAUAGAUUAAUUACUACAUCUUAACUCAUGUAGCAUAUAUAUAUAUACACAAUAUUCAUAUAUGCAUCCACAUUCAUUAAACCAUAAAUCGUAAAACAAUUAAAGAUACAUUGCAUAGAUUAAUUAUUCAUUUUAAACACAUGAUGCAUUUAAUCACAUAAAUAGAAUUACUUAAUCAUUCAAUCAAAUCGAGUUGAUCGCACAUUGCUCAUAUAUAGACAUAACCUAAAAUAGCACAGUACAUAUAAACCACGUAAUCAUUUAGGGUACGCAAAAGUUACUAAUUAAUUCAUGAAUUGGAAAUUAUCGAUUUACUCAAUAUAAUUUCAUAUAAUAUGCUUAUGAAAAUGCGGGGCGUUACAAUCUUCCCCCCUUAAAAUAAAUUUUGUCCUCAAAAUUUGAAAAAUUCUCCAUAAAAGAUGAUGAUACCGAGUUAUGACAAAAAUCCUUUUCUACCCAUGAUUGGGUAAAUUUCAUUUUGAUCGAGGUUACCAAAUAAUUUGAAAAAUAGUUCCUCAACUCUUGGCAAGAGUCAUUUCAUGACUAAAAUCUGAAACAUGCAUUUCGUAAAAGAUUCUUUAAAAGAAAUUUUGAAAAGAGCCUUAGCAUGAGUAUCAUUACUCGAGGAAAAUCGAAAUCGAGUCUCAGUGAGACAUCCAAAUUUUCUGGAAUAAAAUUCAAUUUAGAAAUACCCUUUAACAGUUAAAAUUCUCUUGCCCUCACAAAAACAUUUUGCCGCAUGGUACCCCUGGAUGCAUAUUAAUCAUGCUUAGUCCUAAGUCCUAAUAUGCACAUAAGAUUCACAUAAACAAUUUGUAAUGUAUGGCAUCACCAAUCAAUAAAAUGCAUCACAUAGUUUAACUCAGAUAGGUUUCAUCAUAUCAUAUAUCGUUGAUUCAUUAACCUUUAAUAACGAGAAUUAGGACAUGCUACAAUCUCUUCAAGUCACAUAAAUAGAUAAUCACCUACACAUAAAUUGCACAUAAAACCAAAGCUAGAACAUAAUUUCAAAACUUAAGGAUAUGAAUUGCAUACCUCCAAUUUCUGCUGAGUACAAUUUGACAAUGGGUUUGAGUCAGUGAUUGGAAAACUUCCUUUUCUCGAUCUUGAUUCCCGUAGAAUUUCUGUAACUGUGGGCCUAGUUGAAGUGAAGAGAUUUGAAUUCCUACUGAUAUCGUAGAAUUCCUUAUCCAAGUUAGGUACUAUAUGAACAAGCCUGAGAAAACCCCUGUAUAGCUUCUUCGAUUUCGCGAUAAAGAUAAAUAUGACCAACAGUGGUUCGAAUGUAUAUAAAAGAACUUUUUUUUUUUUUUUUUUUUAUACUUCUUACUAGCUUUUAUUCUUUAAAACUCAAAGUUUCGUAAGAAAUCAAUUUUUUUCAAUCCAUUCGAGCAUUUCAAAUAACUCGAAGACGGUUUUACAAGUAUCCUCUUAUAAAAAUAAUCUUGACCAUGUAGAGGCAUCACAAUAGUCAAUCAAGUAAAAUGAAAUGAAAGCUGAAAUAUGUCAGUAGUUUCAAAGACUUUAUUAAAAUCCAAAUUUGGUACUCAAGUUCCGAAAUCGAAACCUUUGAGCCCUUAAACUUCAUAAUUAAACCAUUCUCCCCAUAUUUUAUACUCUUAAAAGAGUCCUCAGUCAUUCAAUAACAAGUUCAUAGAUUUACAAUUACCACACCAUUCAAACAUACAAUAGCAUCAAGUAAAUACUCAAAUCAUAACCUUUCGUUCAAUGAUACAUAACAUAGCAUGAGACAAUUCAGGAAAUUCGAGACAUUGAACACAUAAAAAUCCACAUAGUUAAUUCCUAAAGUCCCGUACUUCAAAUUAGAGAUAAUUAAGUAACGACAUAAUUUAAUCACGUAGUUCGAACUCAUAUAAUCAAAGAUUAGCACAUACUUUUACGAUCACAUAAAAAUCCACAUAAUCCGAUUCAAGAGAUAGGAUAGUUAAUUUCUAAAGCCUCAUAAUCCGAUUCAAUAUAAUUUAAGCAUGUAGUUCGAACUCAUAAAAUCAAAGAUUACCACACUCUACUCUUAUGAUCACAUAAAAAUUCACAUAACUCGAUUCAAGAGAUAGGAUAGUAAAUUCCUAAAGUCGUAUGCCUCGAAUCAAGGAUAAUCAAGUAACAACACAAUUAAUUCACUCGAGUUCAUAAAAUCAAAGAUUAACACAAUCUACUCUUAUGGUCACAUAAAUAGAUUUGAGCAUAUUAACCAGGAAUUAAUUCUCAUCAAAUAAACAUACAAGCGAGAAGCUAUAAAAUACUCAAGUUUUGACAUAUAUCAAGCAUACAAGCCUCAUGUUAAAUAUCACCCAAAGCAUAAACAUGAAUUCUAUAAUUCAAUUUAAAAGAAAGAGCAUAUAAUACUCUACCCAAUCCACAUAAUUCGGACUCAAGCGAUCAGCCAAUUAAUUUCUAAAAUCAAAUAGAUCGAAUUAAAGUAAUAAAGGAAUAGUAUAGUUCGAAUUCUACAUAACUAAGGAUUAGCACAAUCGACCAUCAUGAUCAUAUAAUUUAACUCAAGUUUACUAUCAAGAGAUAAGAUUAAAUAAAUUAGUCAUAUAAAUGUCAAUCCAAUGAGAUGUUUAAGAUCCCAACAUAUACGAAGCACGCCCAUUUAAACAAACUCUCAACAAUUGUAAAUUUGAAAGAAAGGACAUAUCAUACCUUACUAAAUUCAGUUUUACUUCAAGCAUCACAUAAUAUGAACUACCCUUUAUAUCACAUAGUGCAAGUGUAUAUAUAUAACUUACUAAGAUCAACUAAACAUAUCACAAUCGAAUAUAAAGACAAGUCUAUAUAAAAUUCCAAUUCUCUACUUCAAAUAUUAGAUCAGACCAUUUCGAACAACAAUAAAUCUAACCUCGUAUUACGGCCAGGAGCUGGAGGAGAGAUCACGAAUGCCUUCGACCAUAAUCAGGAAUCCAGUAUAUUAAACACUGCUCUGAUACCAACUUGUAACACCCUCCAUGUCGUUUAUAUAAUUAAGAAUAGUUUUUAGAAAAAUGGACUUUAUUAAAACCUUCGGAUCCUACUGAUCCUUUAGAAAAUAAGUUUGGAAAUCAUCAAAGCAUUUUUCUUUCUUCAAAACAUAACCCACAUUUGAAAGAUAUAAUUUUCAUAAAGAGUGCUACUUCAACAUAGACGGGGUUUUAAAGCAAUACUUGUAAUACAGCAGAACACAAAAUAACUUUAUUUUACAUAC
rnacentral:lncRNA from 1 species